GCCUAUAGUACCAGCUACUCAGGAGGCUGAGGUGGGAGGAUCGCUUGAGCCCAGGAGUUCUGGGCUAUAGUGCACUAUGCAAUCUGGUGUCCACACUAAGUUCGGCAUCGAUAUGGUGACCUCCCUGGAGUGGGGAACCACCAGGUUGCUUAAGGAGGGAUGAACCUGCCCAGGUCCGAAACGGAGCAGAUCAAAACUCCCAUGCUGAUCAGUAGUGGGAUUGCGCCUGUCAAUAGCCACUGCACUCCAGCCUGGGCAACAUAGCAGGAUCCCGUCUCUU
rnacentral:SRP_RNA from 13 species